rnacentral:rRNA from 1 species
UACAGAGGUCCCAAGCGUUGUUCGGAUUCACUGGGCGUAAAGGGUGCGUAGGUGGUGAGGUAAGUCGGAUGUGAAAUCUCCGAGCUCAACUCGGAAAUGGCAUUGGAAACUACCUUGCUCGAGGGUUGGAGGGGGGACUGGAAUGCUUGGUGUAGCAGUGAAAUGCGUAGAUAUCAAGAGGAACACCUGAGGUGAAGACGGGUUGCUGGUCUAACACUGACGCUGAGGCGCGAAAGCCAGGGGAGCAAACGGG